rnacentral:rRNA from 1 species
UACGUAGGGCGCAAGCGUUGUCCGGAAUUAUUGGGCGUAAAGAGCCCGUAGGCGGCUUGUCACGUCGGGUGUGAAAGCCCGGGGCUUAACCCCGGGUCUGCAUUCGAUACGGGCUAGCUAGAGUGUGGUAGGGGAGAUCGGAAUUCCUGGUGUAGCGGUGAAAUGCGCAGAUAUCAGGAGGAACACCGGUGGCGAAGGCGGAUCUCUGGGCCAUUACUGACGCUGAGACGCGAAAGCGUGGGGAGCAAACAGG